rnacentral:rRNA from 1 species
AGAGUUUGAUCCUGGCUCAGGAUGAACGCUAGCGGCAGGCUUAACACAUGCAAGUCGAGGGGUAACAUAGGGUGCUUGCACCCUGAUGACGACCGGCGCACGGGUGCGCAACGCGUAUGGAACCUGCCCCUGUCCGGGGAAUAGCCCAGAGAAAUUUGGAUUAAUGCCCCAUAGUACCCUGUUACUGCAUAGUUACAGGGUUAAAGAUUUAUCGGACAGGGAUGGCCAUGCGUACCAUUAGUUAGUUGGCGGGGUAACGGCCCACCAAGGCAGCGAUGGUUAGGGGCCCUGAGAGGGGGAUCCCCCACACUGGUACUGAGACACGGACCAGACUCCUACGGGAGGCAGCAGUGAGGAAUAUUGGACAAUGGGCGAGAGCCUGAUCCAGCCAUGCCGCGUGCGGGAAGAAGGCCCUAUGGGUCGUAAACCGCUUUUAUACGGGAAGAAAAAAGGGUACGUGUAUCCUACUGACGGUACCGUAAGAAUAAGGACCGGCUAACUCCGUGCCAGCAGCCGCGGUAAUACGGAGGGUCCGAGCGUUAUCCGGAAUUAUUGGGUUUAAAGGGUCCGUAGGCGGGCCGUUAAGUCAGGGGUGAAAGUCUGCGGCUCAACCGUAGAACUGCCCUUGAUACUGGCGGUCUUGAGUCAUAUUGGGAGUGGGCGGAAUAUGUAGUGUAGCGGUGAAAUGCAUAGAUAUUACAUAGAACACCGAUCGCGAA